GAUGUUGGGUUAAGUCCCGCAACGAGCGCAACCCUUGAUUUUAGUUGCCAGCAUUUAGUUGGGCACUCUAAAGUGACUGCCGGUGCAAGCCGGAGGAAGGUGGGGAUGACGUCAAAUCAUCAUGCCCCUUAUGACCUGGGCUACACACGUGCUACAAUGGAUAGUACAAAGGGUCGCGAAGCCGCGAGGUGGAGCUAAUCCCAUAAAACUAUUCUCAGUUCGGAUUGUAGGCUGCAACUCGCCUACAUGAAGCCGGAAUCGCUAGUAAUCGUGGAUCAGCAUGCCACGGUGAAUACGUUCCCGGGCCUUGUACACACCGCCCGUCACACCACGAGAGUUUGUAACACCCGAAGUCGGUAGGGUAACCUUUAUGGAGCCAGCCGCCGAAGGUGGGACAGAUAAUUGGGGUGAAGUCGUAACAAGGUAGCCGUAUCGGAAGGUGCGGCUGGAUCACCUCCUUUCUAAGGAA
rnacentral:rRNA from 1 species